GAUGAACGCUGGCGGCGUGCCUAAUACAUGCAAGUCGAGCGAACGGACGAGGAGCUUGCUUCUCUGAUGUUAGCGGCGGGCGGGUGAGUAACACGUGGAUAACCUACCUAUAAGGCUGGGAUAACUUCGGGAAACCGUAGCUAAUACCGGAUAAUAUUUUGAACCGCAUGGUUCAAAAGUGAAAGACGGUCUUGCUGUCACUUAUAGAUGGAUCCGCGCUGCAUUAGCUAGUUGGUAAGGUAACGGCUUACCAAGGCAACGAUGCGUAGCCGACCUGAGAGGGUGAUCGGCCACACUGGAACUGAGACACGGUCCAGACUCCUACGGGAGGCAGCAGUAGGGAAUCUUCCGCAAUGGGCGAAAGCCUGACGGAGCAACGCCGCGUGAGUGAUGAAGGUCUUCGGAUCGUAAAACUCUGUUAUUAGGGAAGAACAUAUGUGUAAGUAACUGUGCACGUCUUGACGGUACCUAAUCAGAAAGCCACGGCUAACUACGUG
rnacentral:rRNA from 1 species